AUUGAACGCUGGCGGCAUGCCUUACACAUGCAAGUCGAACGGUAACGGGCCUUCGGGUGCCGACGAGUGGCGAACGGGUGAGUAAUGCAUCGGAACGUACCUUUCAGUGGGGGAUAACGUAGCGAAAGUUACGCUAAUACCGCAAAUUCUGUGAGCAGGAAAGCAGGGGAUCGCAAGACCUUGCGCUGAUUGAGCGGCCGGUGUCAGAUUAGCUAGUUGGUGAGGUAAAGGCUCACCAAGGCGACGAUGUGUAGCGGGUCUGAGAGGAUGAUCCGCCACACUGGGACUGAGACACGGGCCAGACUCCUACGGGAGGCAGCAGUGGGGAAUUUUGGACAAUGGGGGCAACCCUGAUCCAGCCAUGCCGCGUGAGUGAAGAAGGCCUUCGGGUUGUAAAGCUCUUUCGGUCGGGAAGAAAUCGCAUGGGUUAAUACCCUGUGCGGAUGACGGUACCGGCAUAAGAAGCACCGGCUAACUACGUGCCAGCAGCCGCGGUAACAC
rnacentral:rRNA from 1 species